AAGAAGGGCCAAUUGUAAGUACAAUUCUUAAUCCUCUCAUUUUUUUCCCUGUUGAAACGUUUUUCUAUUUAAAAUGGACCUGUAGAUCAACUUAAUCUAUAUAAAAUGUUUUCAGUGAAUAAUCUGACAGCCAUAUUUGAGAUCCUUUGAAGCUUUUACUAUUGCAGUGCUAUAGCAAUUCCUAAUGAGAUCCAUCGUACUUUGAACACUUAAAAAGAAUCUGGGCUGGUGUCUUGCAAGAAUGAUUUCGUUAAUUAUCUUGCUUUUUUCCUGGCAGUGCCUUAUAUAUUUUCACAAGGAAUGAAUUUGGGAUCCAGAGUAUGUUAAUCCCAGAGCUGCUGGAAAGACAGGUCCACAUCAUCCCAGUUUUUGCU
rnacentral:lncRNA from 1 species